rnacentral:rRNA from 1 species
AUGGUUAGUUACAAAGGGAGGAACCUGGCCAAGGACAACUUGUGUAAAAAAGGCUGGAAAGGCACCAACAAAUAUGAAUUUUGUGAUGCCAAUGAAUGUAUUGAUCAUCUGUUUUUCACGUGCUCUUUUGCUCGGUUUCUUUGGAAUGUAGUUGGGAGUGCUUUGGGAAAUCCCCAAACACCCCUGUCAUUCUUUGACUUUUGCCAGAAUUGGCUUCCUAAGUAUACUGGGAAAGAUAGAACGGUUAUAUCUAUUGGUACGACUGCUUUUGUUGUGGUUGAUCUGGAAAUCAAGAAAUAA